AAUACAUACCUGCACAAGAGCCAAGCGCUAGAAUCUUGACAGCGGCACUCACGACGAUAGCCCCACACGGGAAACCGCCCACAUGCCCACCAUUACAACGGACAACUAAACAUCAACGCGAUGAACGAACCACAACUGCACAUCACAGGGAUGCUAUCUCACAGCCGACGCUGGGGGAGAGAGGCCAGACCCACGGAGGACCUGCUGGGGCACUGUUGUGACUGCAAUUCCAGCACAUGUCUUUGGUACGGUUGUCAGAGAAGUGAGCCAAGAAUGAUUGAAAUUCUGGAGACUGAUCCGGGAGAGGUGUUUAGAGCAUUCCAGUAUCAGUAAGCAGUGAAUCACUGGUAAGAACUGGAUGAAAUGAAAAUAUUCGGAAGAGUGUUGGGCCAAUGCACCAUUUUGGUAUUCAUCUUCAAUAGAGUUCUGAGCAAAAGAAGAGGCUCAGGCAUAGAGGCUUUCUUCUUUAUACUUCGGUAGGGUUGGGAUUGGCCAGGGGAUAACAUAUUUCACUGCGCUGACUUUAAUAGGAUAAGGUAUUGGCUAAUACGAUAACAGCAUGAGAGGAGAUUUAGGUGAUCUCAGGGGCUUGGGGCAGGGGGAAUGAAACCAGUCACUAAAAUGACAGUCUAAUGAUAUAAGAACGGGACCAGCUGAGGGGGUGCAAAAACCUUACCCGAAGCAGCGGACUUAGAAAUUCUACACUGUUCCCUCUCAACUUCUAGAUGUGUUUCUGAAAUGAAAUGUGCCAUGGUAUGAAUCUUACUAAACCCAGGUCAUCUCUUUGGAACAGGUGAAGGGGAUAGAAGUUGACGUCACAGGUGGAAGGGAAAGACAGGUGAGGUUAUGGGGAAGCAGUUAUCACCUAUUUAUACCACAGGUGAGUCUGGUGAGAUGGAGUUAGAUCGGAGUUUGAAUCCCAACUAGGCCAACUUCGGGCUGGGUAAACUUCAACAGGUUUCUUCACCUCUCUGCACAUAGGUUUCCUCAUGUGUGUAGAGUUCAAAUGUCUAAUAAUUGAAGAGCUACCACCCAUGUAAUUAAGAGACACCUGUUCUAGGAAUACAUUUAUUUCUACAAGUCCCCCACACACAGGUUGGUCUCAAAUGCAAGCUUCCGUGUCCUCCACAGGAGUAGCAAGGAGUGUCUUCUGCCUUCCGGCAGUAGCAUCUGGAGAUGCCUUCCAUGUGUUGCUAACCACAAUGGGAAGACAGCACCAAAGCCAGUGCUUCUGUAACAGAAACCUGAAAUGUUGGAGUGGCUUUGGAACUGGACAGUGGGGGAAGCUGGAACGACUUGGGAGAGAGUGUCAGCGAAAGCCCUUAAAGUCUUGAAGAAUCUAAUGAUGCAUCAAUCCCUGUUUCAAAAGCAGGCACAGAAAUGAUUUCCAAAGAAAUGAACUGGAGCAAGUAGAAAUGCGUAUGAAAUUGGAAUAAAACAAACCUUCCUUCUGAUCCCCCCCCCCCACCAAAAUUCUAUACAAUUACUCUGAGGUUAAAAAAAAAACCAAAAGAUUUCAAAAACAUAAGUCUUGGACAAAAGCUGCACACAAAUGAAGCAUACAUUACAUAUGUGAAGACAUUAAAAAUGAUUUUAAAUGAUUUUUACCUCACCCCAUACCCUGGCAUUUUGUGAAACUCAAAUGGAAAUCCCAGCUGAAAAUUAUAGAAGUGAAUCAACGGAAAACAAACACCAUUCCAUUCCCUUCCAUUCUGUUCAACCAUAC